rnacentral:pre_miRNA from 3 species
UGCGGGGCUAGGGCUAACAGCAGUCUUACUGAAGGUUUCCUGGAAACCACACACAUGCUGUUGCCACUAACCUCAACCU